UUAUCUUUAGCUUUUUGAUUUUUAAUUUUUUUCUACUGGGAACUGAACUCAGGACCUUGCACUUGCCAGGCAGGUACAGUGCCACUGAGCUACAUUCCCUGCUCUAUUUUUGGCUUUUUGAGACAGGGUCUAGAUACCUGGCCUUGAACUCGAAGCGAUCCUCCUGCCUCUGCCUCCUGAAUGCUGGGAUUACAGGCCUGCACCAGCACGGAUUUCGAGUGUUCCCAAGACAGAAACACGAGUGUUCCAGGCAGCAGCUGCUCCAGCUGCUCUGCUCUGCUCUGCUCUACUCUGCUCUCUGAACACACUACCUGGGUGUGGAAGUGUCACCGCACCCCAGGAAUGUGCAGGACUGUUUGGUGAUCUCCCCACGCAGCCCAGGCUGGACUCCAACUCGCCCCUCUCCCCCUGCCGCAGCCUCCCGAGUGCUGGGAUGCAGGGUCUCGCUCUGUCGUUCAGGAUGGCCUCGAACUCUCGGCGAUCCUCCUGCCUCAGCCUCCCCAGUGCUGGGAUUACAGGCGUGCACCACAAUGCCCGGCUCCCAAUUUGCUCUUGAGCCCUGGAACUCCUGCCUCCAGACUGCCAGCCCCAACCUGCCCCGCUCCCUCGCCCCCAGAGAGCUGCCUGUCAUCCACCCCUAAGUUUAUCCCGGGACCCUCGCUGGAGGUAACAAAGCCCCGGACCUCAGACCACGCCCACAACUACAUGUCCCCGCCCAGACCACGCCCGAAGUGCUGAUUGGCGGAAAGAACAAGGUGCUGCACAGUUA